rnacentral:rRNA from 1 species
GACGAACGCUGGCGGCGUGCUUAACACAUGCAAGUCGAACGGAAAGGCCCUGCUUUUGUGGGGUGCUCGAGUGGCGAACGGGUGAGUAACACGUGAGUAACCUGCCCUUGACUUUGGGAUAACUUCAGGAAACUGGGGCUAAUACCGGAUAGGAGCUCCUGCUGCAUGGUGGGGGUUGGAAAGUUUCGGCGGUUGGGGAUGGACUCGCGGCUUAUCAGCUUGUUGGUGGGGUAGUGGCUUACCAAGGCUUUGACGGGUAGCCGGCCUGAGAGGGUGACCGGCCACAUUGGGACUGAGAUACGGCCCAGACUCCUACGGGAGGCAGCAGUGGGGAAUAUUGCACAAUGGGCGGAAGCCUGAUGCAGCAACGCCGCGUGCGGGAUGACGGCCUUCGGGUUGUAAACCGCUUUCGCCUGUGACGAAGCGUGAGUGACGGUAAUGGGUAAAGAAGCACCGGCUAACUACGUGCCAGCAGCCGCGGUGAUACGUAGGGUGCGAGCGUUGUCCGGAUUUAUUGGGCGUAAAGGGCUCGUAGGUGGUUGAUCGCGUCGGAAGUGUAAUCUUGGGGCUUAACCCUGAGCGUGCUUUCGAUACGGGUUGACUUGAGGAAGGUAGGGGAGAAUGGAAUUCCUGGUGGAGCGGUGGAAUGCGCAGAUAUCAGGAGGGACACCAGUGGCGAAGGCGGUUCUCUGGGCCUUUCCUGACGCUGAGGAGCGAAAGCGUGGGGAGCGAACAGGCUUAGAUACCCUGGUAGUCCACGCUGUAAACGGUGGGUACUAGGUGUGGGGUCCAUUCCACGGGUUCCGUGCCGUAGCUAACGCUUUAAGUACCCCGCCUGGGGAGUACGGCCGCAAGGCUAAAACUCAAAGGAAUUGACGGGGCCCCGCACAAGCGGCGGAGCAUGCGGAUUAAUUCGAUGCAACGCGUAGAACCUUACCUGGGUUUGACAUGGAUCGGGAGUGCUCAGAGAUGGGUGUGCCUCUUUUGGGGUCGGUUCACAGGUGGUGCAUGCCUGUCGUCAGCUCGUGUCGUGAGAUGUUGGGUUAAGUCCCGCAACGAGCGCAACCCUUGUUCACUGUUGCCAGCACGUUAUGGUGGGGACUCAGUGGAGACCGCCGGGGUCAACUCGGAGGAAGGUGGGGAUGACGUCAAGUCCUCAUGCCCCUUAUGUCCAGGGCUUCACGCAUGCUACAAUGGCUGGUACAGAGAGUGGCGAGCCUGUGAGGGUGAGCGAAUCUCGGAAAGCCGGUCUCAGUUCGGAUUGGGGUCUGCAACUCGACCUCAUGAAGUCGGAGUCGCUAGUAAUCGCAGAUCAGCAACGCUGCGGUGAAUACGUUCCCGGG